CUCGCAUUUCCUGUGACAGGGGCUGCCCCAGCCUCUCCCUCUCCCGCGGCGGCGGGACCAUUUCCUGAAUCGCUGAAGCGGAGGGAGGACUGGGGCGCGGCCCUACCAUUAGCGCAAAGGGACGGGGGGUGCCGAUAAGGAGAGCUGGAGGGUUGCCGGGACAGUCAAGUACGCAGACGUUCUACCGGGGCUGGGCUUCCCCCCACACGGGCAGAGACGAGACUUCUGUGGGCCAGAGUCCCUCCCUUAGGCCAGGCCAGCCGCCUGCUCGCCCGGCCCUGGAGCAUCCCCCCUCCCCGCAUUCCCGAGGUGGUUCAGCCCGAGAGGCCGGCGUCUUUCCCCCAGUUUGCCGUUCACCCGGAGCGCUCGGGACUUGCCGAUAGUGGUGACGGCGGCAACAUGUCUGUGGCGUUCGCAGCCCCGAGGCAGCGAGGCAAGGGGGAGAUCACUCCCGCUGCGAUCCAGAAGAUGUUGGAUGAAAAUAACCAUCUUAUUCAGUGUAUAAUGGACUAUCAGAAUAAAGGAAAGACCUCAGAGUGUUCUCAGUAUCAGCAGAUGUUGCAUACAAACUUGGUAUACCUUGCUACAAUAGCAGAUUCUAAUCAAAAUAUGCAGUCUCUUUUACCAGCACCACCCACACAGAAUAUGCCUAUGGGUCCUGGAGGGAUGAAUCAGAGCGGCCCUCCCCCACCUCCACGCUCUCACAACAUGCCUUCAGAUGGAAUGGUAGGUGGGGGUCCUCCUGCACCACACAUGCAGAACCAGAUGAACGGCCAGAUGCCUGGGCCUAACCAUAUGCCUAUGCAGGGACCUGGACCCAAUCAACUCAAUAUGACAAACAAUUCCAUGAAUAUGCCUUCAAGUAGCCAUGGAUCCAUGGGAGGUUACAACCAUUCCGUGCCAUCAUCACAGAGCAUGCCAGUACAGAAUCAAAUGACAAUGAGUCAGGGACAACCAAUGGGAAACUAUGGCCCCAGACCAAAUAUGAAUAUGCAGCCAAAUCAAGGUCCAAUGAUGCAUCAGCAGCCUCCUUCUCAGCAAUACAAUAUGCCACAAGGAGGUGGGCAGCAUUACCAAGGACAGCAGCCACCUAUGGGAAUGAUGGGUCAAGUUAACCAGGGCAAUCAUAUGAUGGGUCAGAGACAGAUUCCUCCCUAUAGACCACCUCAACAGGGCCCACCACAGCAGUACUCAGGCCAGGAAGACUAUUAUGGGGACCAAUACAGUCAUGGUGGACAAGGUCCUCCAGAAGGCAUGAACCAGCAAUAUUACCCUGAUGCAUAUGCUGUGGAAUUGGCGACCAGCAGAACAGGUCAUAAUGAUUACGGUUAUCAGCAACCGUCGUAUCCUGAACAAGGCUACGAUAGGCCUUAUGAGGAUUCCUCACAACAUUACUACGAAGGAGGUAUCUAUAUACCUUCACACAUACACAUAUAUGUCCCCUUCUACAGGAAUGAAAAUUCUUGCAUAAGACAACUUCUACCCAUGCAAAGCUCUUGUAGAAUACUAGUUGCUGGCUGUCUUGAAAGUUAUAGGGACCCCAAAACAACCAAAAUAAUUUCCUUACAAAUAUUUAAAAUGUAUAACCGUGACUUGCCAUUUCUAACAACAAUAAAAAGACUAAAACAUUUAAAGAUAAUUUUUUCCUCAGUGGAAAUAUUCUAUUUGAACAUAAAUCCAUUGAUCCAAUUUUUUUUCUUGUGUGUUUACAUAUGUAUAAUUUUACAUAUAAGUAUAGUGCCUUUAGGAAACAGCUUGCUGAUUUUGUGUAGCUAGUGUGUGCUCUUGUAGCUGUCUUUAAUUUUGUCUUUUUUAUUUUAUUUAGCAUAGUCAUGAUCUUAUGACUGUGAUGUUCCAGUAAAUGUAAUGCUCGUAUGGCAGAGACGCUGAAAAUGCUGCAGUUCAACCUUGCAAAAUUGGCUUUAACUGCAGUUUGUUUGGCCGAAAUCCUUCUGUUUGGUUUGAGUUUUUUCUUUGUUUUGUUAACUUUUAAAAAUCAAUAUGGCAUUUCAUUUUGUUCUUGUGUUGUUGGCUAUGCAUCUUAGAGGGAAAAAAGUUAAUUAAGCAAACUUCUCAAUUUCUUUUUUCCUCUUCUUCAAUUAUCCUGUAGGAAAUUCACAAUAUGGCCAGCAGCAAGAUGCUUACCAAGGACCACCUCCACAACAGGGAUAUCCACCCCAGCAACAGCAGUACCCAGGGCAGCAAGGUUACCCGGGACAGCAACAGGGCUAUGGUCCUUCACAGGGUGGUCCAGGUCCUCAGUAUCCUAACUACCCACAGGGACAAGGUCAGCAGUAUGGGGGAUAUAGACCAACACAGCCUGGACCACCACAGCCACCCCAGCAGAGGCCUUAUGGAUAUGACCAGGGACAGUAUGGAAAUUACCAGCAGUGAAAAAGUACUUACAUUCCAAUAGCCAAUAUCUAUUAGCAGCCAUAUUGUCACCUCAGCACUGUGGACACCUCCCUGUGAAGAGUUCCUUCCAUUCCAUCUAAUUUUUGGAAAAACCUUGUGGAUAAGUGGCUGUUUCAUCAAUAAGCAGCCUUUGUGGUUUAGUUGUAAAAGGCUUUAGUAGCUCAAAAAUACUCUUGAUUUCACAUUUCUACUCUAGAUGGCAACAUUGGACAGAAAAUGCAAUGACAUAACCAAUUUGCAAUGAUUUCAGAACUGUGUUUCAAAUGGACUGUUACAGACUGAAAGGUGUGAACAGCUUUGUAUGUUUAUGAAGGUUAAGGGAAUUUAAUACUUUUCCACAGAUUUUUUUGUAAGGGGAAGAGGGAAAUGUACACUUUUUACAGCAGCAAUAUUUUGUAUAUUAUGUUUAUUUCAUGUGGUGAAUAUGCAAGGCGGUACACUGCGCACUGGACAGAAUCAGAAAUCCUCUGUUAAUGUGGACGGGAGCAUGGUAGAUGCUUGAUUGUUUUGGUCUCAAAAUGGUGUACCAUAAAGAGAAAGGUGAGAGAAGACAAAGCACACCAUAUGUCCACUGUUCUGUUCUUAUAGAGGAAAUUCAAAUCCCUUUUAUCUAUUAGAUAAUCAAGGGCACUGUGAUACAGUUUUGAGUAAAAAGACAUUUUUAAAAAGCCUUCCAGUUUUGUGGAUUAAAACCUUUUUGUAAAGAUCAUUUCUAAUACUGUUUUAAAAUGUGAGGCAAUAAGAAUUACUUUAUGUUGGAUCUGAAGAAUCUUUGGUAACGGUUUCAUAUAAAUGAAGUAAUCCUCUCCUAAAAUAGCAAUAACUGAAAAUGAAAGUAUUAAUUUUACCUUGUUUGAAUAAUCAGGGAACUUAGUAAUAUCAAAGCAUUUUAUAAAUGAUAUCAAAGAAGAGUCAACAUUGAUCCAGUAAUUUAGUUUUUUAACGUUAGAAAGGUAAUUGGUUAUAUAAACAAAAUAGUUCAGGAGACUUUACAAACCAUUGUUUCAACUUUCUUAACUGGAAAUAAUGCCAUUUAUAAAGGGACACUUUUAUGUUUAUCCCUUUUUUUUUUGUAUUGGUUAAUAUAACACACAGAAAUGUUUAGGAAAAUGCUUAUUGAUGAGGUUUAUUCUAUCUGUUAUAAAAGCACAGAGGUUGCAUUCUAGAUCACCUUGUUUAUUAGCAUAGCAUGUUUAAUCAUUAUUUGAGGUUGUCCUGUGCCUGAUUAUUUUAGCUAAAUUCAGAGAUAUUGCAUUGGGCAGGAAAGAAUGCAUUGAAAAUUUUCUAACCACGGUUAUUUAAGCAUAAUCUGAAACAUCUAGCCCAAAGGUAAGUUACUAUUUUCAUCACAGUUGCCUAUGUCCAGGGAAUAAGAUAUAUUCUUUAUAAUUGAAUUCCUUUUUCCCACUUCUAACUGGAAACAAAACAGAAGGGGUGCCAUAAAUUUGAAUAAGCAGAACUGCUCUCAACAUACUGUAAUCAAAAGGAGGAAUUUCAGUAUGUCUCUCUGUAUGAGAGAGAGAGAGAGAGUGUAUGUAUGUGUGCGUGUGUGUGUAUGUGUGUUUCAAGGUCAGAAUAGGUUUUUUUUUCCCCUCAAUUUGGUCAGUAGAAAAUGGACAUCAAGUUUGGACAGAUAAAGCAUGGACAGCCUUAUUGUGAUCGAAAUGCUUAUAGGUUCUGUGCCAAUUUUCCACCACUGUGUACUUUGUUGCUAUUUAAAACUGUAUCAGCUCUAACGGAAGAAUAAAUUAUUUGUGAUUUUAA